GAUGAACGCUGGCGGCGUGCCUAAUACAUGCAAGUCGAGCGAACGGACGAGAAGCUUGCUUCUCUGAUGUUAGCGGCGGACGGGUGAGUAACACGUGGAUAACCUACCUAUAAGACUGGGAUAACUUCGGGAAACCGGAGCUAAUACCGGAUAAUAUUUUGAACCGCAUGGUUCAAAAGUGAAAGACGGUCUUGCUGUCACUUAUAGCUGGAUCCGCGCUGCAUUAGCUAGUUGGUAAGGUAACGGCUUACCAAGGCAACGAGGCAUAGCCGACGGGAGAGGCUGGUCGGCGACACUGGAACUGAGACACGGUCCAGACUCCUACGGUAGGCAGCAGUAGGGAAUCUUCCGCAAUGGGCGAAAGCCUGACGGAGCAACGCCGCGUGAGUGAUGAAGGUCUUCGGAUCGUAAAACUCUGUUAUUAGGGAAGAACAUAUGUGUAAGUAACUGUGCACAUCUUGACGGUACCUAAUCAGAAAGCCACGGCUAACUACGUG
rnacentral:rRNA from 1 species